rnacentral:rRNA from 1 species
AACCGCGAACGGCUCAUUACAACAGCUAUAAUCUACUCGAUCUUGAACAGUUACUCGGAUAACUGUGGUAAUUCUAGAGCUAAUACGUGCACCGAAGCUGUCCCUCACGGGGCAGUGCAUUUAUUGGAGCAAAACCAGGCGGCCUCGGCCGUUUUUGCUGACUCAGAAUUACUAAGCUGACCGCAUGGGCUUGACCCGGCGGCGUGUCGUUCGAGUGUCUGCCUUAUCAACUUUCGAUGGUAGUGUAUCUGACUACCAUGGUUGUGACGGGUAACGGAGGAUAAGGGUUCGACUCCGGAGAAGGGGCCUGAGAAAUGGCCACUACGUCUAAGGAUGGCAGCAGGCGCGCAAAUUACCCACUCUCGGUUCGAGGAGGUAGUGACGAAACAUAACAAGGACGUUCUCUACGAGGCCGUCCAUUGGAAUGGGUACAACUCAAACCCUUUAACGAGUAUCAAUGAGAGGGCAAGUCUGGUGCCAGCAGCCGCGGUAAUUCCAGCUCUCAAAAUGCAUAGAAUCAUUGCUGCGGUUAAAAAGCUCGUAGUUGGAUCUGUGCCGGCGACGUGGUCCACCUUGACGGGCGGCACUGCGCUCGCCGGCUUUGGGCCGGUCUUCGUCUGGGUGCCUUCACUGGUCGCUCAGUCGUGGCUGGCUGGUUUACUUUGAGCAAAUCAGAGUGCUCAGCACAGGCGUCUCGCCGGAAUGUUCGUGCAUGGAAUAAUAGAAAAGGAUCACGGUCCUCUUUUAUUGGUUUUGUGGACUGAGAUAAUGGUUAACAGAGACGAACGGGGGCAUUCGUAUUGCU